rnacentral:rRNA from 1 species
UGCGGCGUGCCUAAUACAUGCAAGUCGAGCGAGCGGAACUAACAGAUUUACUUCGGUAAUGACGUUAGGAAAGCGAGCGGCGGAUGGGUGAGUAACACGUGGGGAACCUGCCCCAUAGUCUGGGAUACCACUUGGAAACAGGUGCUAAUACCGGAUAAGAAAGCAGAUCGCAUGAUCAGCUUUUAAAAGGCGGCGUAAGCUGUCGCUAUGGGAUGGCCCCGCGGUGCAUUAGCUAGUUGGUAAGGUAAAGGCUUACCAAGGCGAUGAUGCAUAGCCGAGUUGAGAGACUGAUCGGCCACAUUGGGACUGAGACACGGCCCAAACUCCUACGGGAGGCAGCAGUAGGGAAUCUUCCACAAUGGACGCAAGUCUGAUGGAGCAACGCCGCGUGAGUGAAGAAGGUUUUCGGAUCGUAAAGCUCUGUUGUUGGUGAAGAAGGAUAGAGGUAGUAACUGGCCUUUAUUUGACGGUAAUCAACCAGAAAGUCACGGCUAACUACGUGCCAGCAGCCGCGGUAAUACGUAGGUGGCAAGCGUUGUCCGGAUUUAUUGGGCGUAAAGCGAGCGCAGGCGGAAGAAUAAGUCUGAUGUGAAAGCCCUCGGCUUAACCGAGGAACUGCAUCGGAAACUGUUUUUCUUGAGUGCAGAAGAGGAGAGUGGAACUCCAUGUGUAGCGGUGGAAUGCGUAGAUAUAUGGAAGAACACCAGUGGCGAAGGCGGCUCUCUGGUCUGCAACUGACGCUGAGGCUCGAAAGCAUGGGUAGCGAACAGGAUUAGAUACCCUGGUAGUCCAUGCCGUAAACGAUGAGUGCUAAGUGUUGGGAGGUUUCCGCCUCUCAGUGCUGCAGCUAACGCAUUAAGCACUCCGCCUGGGGAGUACGACCGCAAGGUUGAAACUCAAAGGAAUUGACGGGGGCCCGCACAAGCGGUGGAGCAUGUGGUUUAAUUCGAAGCAACGCGAAGAACCUUACCAGGUCUUGACAUCUAGUGUCAUUUGUAGAGAUACAAAGUUCCCUUCGGGGACGCUAAGACAGGUGGUGCAUGGCUGUCGUCAGCUCGUGUCGUGAGAUGUUGGGUUAAGUCCCGCAACGAGCGCAACCCUUGUUAUUAGUUGCCAGCAUUAAGUUGGGCACUCUAAUGAGACUGCCGGUGACAAAGCGGAGGAAGGUGGGGAUGACGUCAAGUCAUCAUGCCCCUUAUGACCUGGGCUACACACGUGCUACAAUGGGCAGUACAACGAGAAGCGAGCCUGCGAAGGCAAGCGAAUCUCUGAAAGCUGUUCUCAGUUCGGACUGCAGUCUGCAACUCGACUGCACGAAGCUGGAAUCGCUAGUAAUCGCGGAUCAGCACGCCGCGGUGAAUACGUUCCCGGGCCUUGUACACACCGCCCGUCACACCAUGGGAGUCUGCAAUGCCCAAAGCCGGUGGCCUAACCUUCGGGAAGGAGCCGUCUAAGGCAGGGCAGAUGACUGGGGUGAAG